GUGCAGUACCGAUGAUAAUCCAUAUCGUGCUGGCAUAACGCCCGUUGAUUGAUAAAGAAUCUGUUGCAAGGGUUGCAAUGACUUCUCCUUCCCCUUCUGUGGCUAAGUUGAUGCGGGCUUUAUCCCUGGUAUUAGCCAAACCUUCCUUUGGCAGAGAAGUCCAGUUUAGAAAGUGAAUCAUGUGCACUACUCACUAGCAGACAGGAACAUGACUGCCACAAGCUGGAGAUAAGAUCACUUUCUCUUCCUCCGCCUGAAGUCAAGCAGAUCAUAGAUAAUAGAUAGAAGGAAGGUAGCUAGCCAUAUCUAUAUCAAUCAAUUUUUACCCAUGUAUGCAAUUUCUUAUGUAUUGAUUCUAUCAUUCAUUCCUUUCCUUCUAGUUGAUUCUCCUACAUGCUUUUCCUUAUGUUAUUUGAGAUAGCUUGUUAGAUAUAAUACACA
rnacentral:sRNA from 1 species